UGCUAUAAAGAAUACCAUUAGGCCAGGCGC
rnacentral:piRNA from 1 species